AAGCACUGUGUGUAACUCUGUGAAAGGUCCCAGUUCGGAUGCGAGGGCCUUCACUACCCACAGUGCCCCUCCUGAUACCCCUCUACCGCCCAGACUGUCCCAUCGCACCAAGAGCUCCCUCACAUUACAGUGGAAGCCUCCUGUGGACAAUGGCUCAAAAAUCACCAAUUAUGUUCUAGAAUGGGAUGAGGGGAAGAAAAACAGCAUUUUCCGUGAAUAUUAUGUUGGACACC